UAGCUAGUUGGUGAGGUAACGGCUUACCAAGGCGACGAUCUGUAGCGGGUCUGAGAGGAUGAUCCGCCACACUGGAACUGAGACACGGUCCAGACUCCUACGGGAGGCAGCAGUGGGGAAUUUUGGACAAUGGGGGCAACCCUGAUCCAGCCAUGCCGUGUGAGUGAAGAAGGCCUUCGGGUUGUAAAGCUCUUUCGGCCGGGAAGAAAUCGCAUGGGCCAAUACCCUGUGUGGAUGACGGUACCGGAAUAAGAAGCACCGGCUAACUACGUGCCAGCAGCCGCGGUAAUACGUAGGGUGCGAGCGUUAAUCGGAAUUACUGGGCUUAAAGCGUGCGCAGGCGGUUUUGUAAGACAGGCGUGAAAUCCCCGGGCUCAACCUGGGAACUGCGUUUGUGACUGCAAGGCUAGAGUACGGCAGAGGGGGGUGGAAUUCCACGUGUAGCAGUGAAAUGCGUAGAGAUGUGGAGGAACACCAAUGGCGAAGGCAGCCCCCUGGGUCGAUACUGACGCUCAUGCACGAAAGCGUGGGUAGCAAACAGGAUUAGAUACCCUGGUAGUCCACGCCCUAAACUAUGUCAACUAGGUGUUGGGUGGGUAAAACCAUUUAGUACCGUAGCUAACGCGUGAAGUUGACCGCCUGGGGAGUACGGCCGCAAGGUUAAAACUCAAAGGAAUUGACGGGGACCCGCACAAGCGGUGGAUGAUGUGGAUUAAUUCGAUGCAACGCGAAAAACCUUACCUACCCUUGACAUGCCAGGAACUUGCCAGAGAUGGCUUGGUGCCCGAAAGGGAGCCUGGACACAGGUGCUGCAUGGCUGUCGUCAGCUCGUGUCGUGAGAUGUUGGGUUAAGUCCCGCAACGAGCGCAACCCUUGUCGUUAAUUGCCAUCAUUUAGUUGGGCACUUUAGCGAGACUGCCGGUGACAAACCGGAGGAAGGUGGGGAUGACGUCAAGUCCUCAUGGCCCUUAUGGGUAGGGCUUCACACGUCAUACAAUGGUCGGUACAAAGGGUCGCCAAGCCGCGAGGUGGAGCCAAUCCCAGAAAGCCGAUCGUAGUCCGGAUUGCAGGCUGCAACUCGCCUGCAUGAAGUCGGAAUCGCUAGUAAUCGUGGAUCAGCAUGUCACGGUGAAUACGUUCCCGGGUCUUGUACACACCGCCCGUCACACCAUGGGAGCGGGUUCCGCCAGAAGUAGGUAGCCUAACCGUAGGAGGGCGCUUACCACGGCGGGGUUCGUGACUGGGGUGAAGUCGGAACAAGGUAGCCGUAGGGGAACCUGCGGCUG
rnacentral:rRNA from 1 species